rnacentral:lncRNA from 1 species
AUGUCAAUUGCAAAGCAUUAUCACAUCACAGCUGCAUCAAUUUCUCCAAAAGACGAGCUUAGAUCAAGGAUAAUUACAGCACUAGUGGAACAGGGAGUGCUUUUGAGUGAGUCUGAGGAUUCAGAUUUAAGUCAAUCUGUUCAGGUAUCUGACAAUAAGACAGAUGUACUGUUGUCAACACAGGAUGUUCAUGCUGUGCGUUUACAUGAAUUAGACUUACAGUUAAAAAUUAAACAAUUAGAGCUUGAGGCAAAAGCUAGAGAAGAAGACAGGAAGUUUGAAAUGGAGAGGUUACGUUUGGUACAUGUAGAGAGAAUGAGAGAAUUAGAACUGAGGUCAGCUGGUCUGCAGUCUACAGGUUCUCCUUCUCCACGGUUUGAUGUUGGACGUAACAUUAGUUUGGUGCCUCCUUUCUCGGAGAAAGAAGUAGAGAAAUACUUCUCACAUUUUGAGCGUGUAGCCACCACAUUUGGCUGGCCUGAAAAUGUCUGGACCCUGUUGCUGCAAUGUGUUUUAACAGGUAAAGCACAUGAAGUUUAUUCUUCAUUAACACUCACCCAAAGUGCGGAUUACCAAGUUGUUAAAGCAGCCAUAUUGCGGGCCUAUGAGCUGGUUCCAGAGGCUUACAGGCAGCAUUUUAGAGGAUGUCGAAAGACUGAGAAGCAGAUGUUUGUUGAAUUUGCCAGAGAAAAAGAAAUCUUGUUCAAUAGGUGGUGCACAUUUCAGAAAGUUGAAACUAAAGAGCAACUUUGUGACUUGAUACUCGUGGAGGAAUUUAAAAAUUGUGUUCCUGAAGCAGUUGCGACUUAUUUGAGUGAGCAGCGAGUGUCCACAGUUGGGGCUGCUGCUAUACUUGCUGACGAGUAUGUCUUGGCUCAUAGGGUCACUUUUAAUGAUAAAUCUCGUGAGACUAGGAACCGUGUUUUUCCUCAUUUUAAAGCUGACAGUGGUGGUCCUGGGUCUUCAGGUUCUGCUGUAAAGGCUACUAAUUCUAGCACAGAAAGCUUUCAGAGGGUCUGUUUCUAUUGUAAAAAGCUUGGUCAUCUCAUAGCUGACUGUCACGCUCUCAGUAAAAAGCAGAAAGCUCCUAAGCCAGUGGCCUUAUUAGCUUCAGUACCACACCUGUCCAGUGGGGAGAAUGCAAUCAAUCAGUUCACUAAAGAUAGGUCUGGUGUAGUAAAAUGUCCCAUUGAGUCCACUGAGGACGGGUUUGAGCCUGAUAUCGUUGCGCCUUUUCGUAUGGAGGGUUUAGUAGCCAUCGCUGAUUCAGAAAAGUUUGUCCCGGUUCGUAUUUUGAGACACAGCAGCUGCUCAGUCUUUAUUGGUGGAGGGAGUUCUGCCCCUCUCUGA